GGGGGUGCACCGGUUUCGACUGGUACGGUUCGGGGUACGGACUGCAGGUGGAGUGCCGAGCUCCUGAUUCGGCAACAAUGUAACUGCCGACAACGACCGUUUCGACUACGCCCUCGCGGCGUAAACGACGUGGACCCGUUCCGCCGCCUUGAGGAACGGAAUCCGCGACGCAACCAAGGCUGGCCAAACCCCAUGUCCGGAUGGGGAGCGGUGAGAAAAAAUCCGGAAUACGGACGGGCCGCGCGCCGCGCAGCCAAGCCCGCCCCGACAAUACAAUAGGCGGCUAAACCUGUAGAGGCCCGUAUUUCGCGUAUCAGGACGCGGGUUCGACUCCCGCCACCUCCAAAA
rnacentral:tmRNA from 1 species